UACGUAGGGCGCAAGCGUUGUCCGGAAUUAUUGGGCGUAAAGAGCUCGUAGGCGGCUUGUCACGUCGGGGGUGAAAGCCCGGGGCUUAACCCCGGGUCUGCAUUCGAUACGGGCAGGCUAGAGUGUGGUAGGGGAGAUCGGAAUUCCUGGUGUAGCGGUGAAAUGCGCAGAUAUCAGGAGGAACACCGGUGGCGAAGGCGGAUCUCUGGGCCAUUACUGACGCUGAGGAGCGAAAGCGUGGGGAGCGAGCAGG
rnacentral:rRNA from 1 species